CUCACUUUUUUUUCUUCCUCCCCCCCCCCAGGUUCCCCCCUCCCGAAAUGGCUCCUCUCAGACCCCUGCGGGACGCCCGCGCUCGCCCAGCUGAGCGCUCCUUCAGCUCCCGAUGGCCGCCGCAUGCUGGAGGUGCGUCCGACCCCAAGGCCGCCCCGGUGUCCGUCUGUCCGUCCCUCCCCCAUGGCACCGUGUCCGUCUGUCCGUCCCACCCCAUAGCAUCGUGUCCCCAGUCCCUCUGUCCCCUCCCCCCCUCAUUGCAUUCUGACUCCGACGUCCUUCUGUCCCUUCUUCGUGCCAUUGUGUCCUUCUGUCCAUCCCCCCCCAUGCCCUCAUGUCCCCCCUGUCCGUCUGUCUGUCCCCCACCCCAUGCCAUUGUGUCUGUCUGUCUGUCCCCCACCCCAUGCCAUC